rnacentral:rRNA from 1 species
GACGAACGCUGGCGGCGUGCCUAAUACAUGCAAGUCGAACGCUGAAGGUGGAGCUUGCUUCUCUGGAUGAGUUGCGAACGGGUGAGUAACGCGUAGGUAACCUGCCUGGUAGCGGGGGAUAACUAUUGGAAACGAUAGCUAAUACCGCAUAAGAGUAUAUGUUGCAUGACAUUUGCUUAAAAGGUGCAAUUGCAUCACUACCAGAUGGACCUGCGUUGUUUUAGCUUGUUGGUGGGGUAACGGCUCACCACGGCGACGAUACAGAGCCGACCUGAGAGGGGGGACGGCCACACUGGGAGCGGGACACGGCACAGGCUGCGACGGGAGGCGGCAGUAGGGAAACUUCGGGAAUGAACGGAAGACGGACCGAGCAAAGCGGCGUGAGGGAAGAAGGGUAUCGGAUCGUAAAGCUAUGUUGUAGGAGAGGAACGAGAGUGAGAGUGGAAAGUACACACUGUGACGGUACCUUACCAGGAAGGGACGGCUAACUACGUG